ensembl:lncRNA
UUAGGACUAUACUUUCAGGGAUCAUUUCUGUAGUUGGUAACUAGAGGAGUGUGAUCGAAAGUGUCCGGCGUCACAAACCACGAGGAGGAGCAGCGUGUUCUCUCCUGAGCGUGAAGCGGGCGGGCGGUGCUGCUUGUGCAGGAGCCGCCCGUCAUUGAUGACCGUUCCCGUCCCACUUGGUUGGGUCUGGGAGGGAGAGAACGCAGGCUGAGUGGAGGAGCAGCGUGUUCUCUCCUGAGCGCGAAGCGGGCGGGCGGUGCUGCUUGUGCAGGAGCCGCCCGUCAUUGAUGACCGUUCCCGUCCUACUUGUUGGGUCUGGGAGGGAGAGAACGCAGGCUGAGUGGUUUGUGCCUUCUUAUUAUGCGGUUAAAAAAGACAGACUGAAUUUCAAAUGCGAAGGGUAGCGGUCCAGAGGCACCUGCGGGGUUCCCAGUAGAGUGCUCUGCCUGUUUACCGUCGUGCCAUGCAGCACGGAACUCGGGGCGGCUCUCGGGGCCGGAUGUGUC